rnacentral:lncRNA from 1 species
UGUAUAUUAUGUAUAUACAACUCGUCUUAACAUCAACCCAACAAUGUUAGAUCUGUAAAUUUGCUUUCGCAAAUUUUUUGUUCUUCCCUCGCCGGGAUUCGAACCCAUGCUACUGAGAUAUCGUGACACCAAAUCGCCUGCACUAUAGCCGUCCCGCUAGACCACACGACCACCUGGGCUUUACAAUAAUAAAGCUUUCGGUGGUUGUGUGUUACCUUUCCUCGUCAGUUUUAA